GGCCCUCCUUAACUCCUCUUGGAUGCUGCCAGUGGAUGUGAAGGGGACUGACUCCGAUUGCUCGACUUCAAAAUAGCCCUAACGUGGUCUGGCAAGAGACAGAGGCUCAAUUCACAGCGAGCACAUCAUGUCUGCAGAUUGCCCACUUUCUCAGGAUUAGCAGGGGAUCUCCCUUCUCUCUCCAGCCAGGAUGAUACCUGGAAUUGGGAACCUUACCCAGGACACCCUCUGGUGCUUCAGCCAAGUGAAAGGCACCAUCGACAUUGGAGUCACUGAAGGAGGUCUUCAAAAUGUUGACUGGCAUUUCCCUCAAUUAAUCGUGGUGGUUACCUUCCCACUGGAGAAGGAAAUGUCAAACUACUCCAGUGUCUUUGCCAAGAAAACCCCAAAUGGAGUCAUGAGGAGUCAGAUACAACUGAAACAACUGAACAAAAUCUUCCCACUCUUCAUGAUUUCAUAGAGAGGUGUGUAUAUGUGUGUAUAUAUUUGUCCAUAUGUACAUGUGUAUGGUGGGGG
rnacentral:lncRNA from 1 species